GUACAUUUCAGUAGUUUGAGGCACAUAUACUAAAACUGGAUCGAUACAGAGUAGAUUAGCAUGGCUCCUGUGAAAGGAUGACAAGCAAGUCCGUGAAGCGCUCCAUCUUUUU
rnacentral:snRNA from 1 species